GCUAGCUCAGUUGGUUAGAGCAGCUGACUCUUAAUCAGCGGGUCCGGGGUUCGAGUCCCUGGC
rnacentral:tRNA from 1 species